CGGUUAAAAAGCUCGUAGUUGGAUCUCGGCAAGUAGAGGGCGGUAUGCUUCGUAGCAUUACUGCCCUAUUACUUGUAGUUUUGCCAGAGGUUCCUGGGUGCUCAUAAUCGAGUGUCUAGGGAUGCUGGCAGGUUUACUUUGAAAAAAUUAGAGUGCUCAAAGCAGGCUAUUACGCUUGAAUAUUCGUGCAUGGAAUAAUAGAAUAGGAAGUUGUUUCUAUUUUGUUGGUUUUCGGAAAUCGACUUAAUGAUUAAUAGGGACAGUCGGGGGCAUUUGUAUUCAAACGACAGAGGUGAAAUUCUUGGACCGUUUGAAGACAAACUACUGCGAAAGCAUUUGCCAAGAAUGUUUUCAUUAAUCAAGAACGAAAGUUAGAGGUUCGAAGGCGAUUAGAUACCGCCCUAGUUCUAACCAUAAACGAUGCCAGCUAGCGAUCUGAGGACGUUUUUUUUGUAGACUCCUCAGGAAGCUUCCGGGAAACCAAAGCGUGUGGGUUCCGGGGGAAGUAUGGUUGCAAAGCUGAAACUUAAAGGAAUUGACGGAAGGGCACCACCAGGAGUGGAGCCUGCGGCUUAAUUUGACUCAACACGGGAAAUCUCACCAGGCCCGGACACUGGAAGGAUUGACAGAUUGAGAGCUC
rnacentral:rRNA from 1 species